UUUUGCUGCUCGAUAUUUGUAUGUUGUAUGUUUACUUUCUGUCAGUCUCAUUCAUUAAUCAAAUGAUUUCUCAGUAAGUCAGUGUAACCUAGCUAGUUUUCUUCUCAGAUGCGGUAGAUAACACACUGCCUUCUCCUCAGGGCCCUACAGCGAAAAGGAUUACUGAGCUCAAGGUGGAGCUCACUGCAUGCCUGAGAGGGGAUCUCUUCAUUCUGCAACAAGUGCAUGCCAAAGGCAUCGUCACAGAGAGACAGUAUGAAAACCUGAAACAUGCCUCUCAGCCAGAAAAAACAGUUAUUGACCUGAUAGAUCAGGUGAUAGGGAAAGGUGAGAAGACCUGUGUUAACUUUCUUCAGGUUCUCAAAGACCCUGAAGUUCUCAAGACAUAUCCAAAACUGAAAGAAAUUCUAAACAUUUAAUCUUAGCAAUCAUGGAGAGCAUUUAUAAAAGCUCCAAUGAGGAACUUUGUCUCUGUUUCUCUGCACCUGCUGUAAUCCUUUGUGUUUGUGGCUGUUUUGUUGUUUCUUUUAUGCAGAAAAUGUUUUGUGGAACUCAACUUGCAUGCUAAAUGGUUUAAAGUUUAAAAAUGUGUAUCUCCUGCAACAGAAAAAACAGCCAGUGACGACUGAGAAUACAGAACUUUUGACCUUUACAAUAUGGUCCAGCAGAUUAUAGUUGGGGAGGGAGACACAGGAGGAACAAUGGAGAGAAUUUGUUUUCCAAAGAGCAUUUUUGCUGUGAAAAUGUCUGUGCUUAUUUUUUUAUUGAUGGCAAACCUUAAAUAAAACCAGACAGUAAACUCUACAA